GCCGAGAUGGCGGAAUUGGUAGACGCACUAGUUUCAGGUACUAGCGGGUAAAACCGUGGAGGUUCGAGUCCUCUUCUCGGCA
rnacentral:tRNA from 1 species